ensembl:rRNA 5S_rRNA 5S ribosomal RNA
UAAAGCAGCCAUAUCACCCUGCAACUCACAACUGGCAACCCACUGAAGCUAAGCAGGUGUGAGCCUGGUCAGUACCUGGAUGGGAGACCUCCUGGGAAAAACUAAGGUUGCUGCUGGAA